rnacentral:rRNA from 1 species
CGGCUCAGUAACACGUGGAUAACCUGCCCUUGGGUCCGGCAUAACCCCGGGAAACUGGGGAUAAUUCCGGAUAACGCACAUAUGCUGGAAUGCUUUAUGCGUCAAAUGGAUUCGUCCGCCCAAGGAUGGGUCUGCGGCCUAUCAGGUAGUAGUGGGUGUAAUGUACCUACUAGCCUACGACGGGUACGGGUUGUGAGAGCAAGAGCCCGGAGAUGGAUUCUGAGACAUGAAUCCAGGCCCUACGGGGCGCAGCAGGCGCGAAAACUUUACAAUGCGGGAAACCGUGAUAAGGGGACACCGAGUGCCAGCAUCAUAUGCUGGCUGUCCGGGUGUGUAAAAUACACCUGUUAGCAAGGGCCGGGCAAGACCGGUGCCAGCCGCCGCGGUAACACCGGCGGCCCGAGUGGUGAUCGUGAUUAUUGGGUCUAAAGGGUCCGUAGCCGGUUUGGUCAGUCCUCCGGGAAAUCUGACGGCUCAACCGUUAGGCUUUCGGGGGAUACUGCCAGACUUGGAACCGGGAGAGGUAAGAGGUACUACAGGGGUAGGAGUGAAAU